rnacentral:rRNA from 1 species
UUCGGAUUGUAGGCUGAAACUCGCCUACAUGAAGCUGGAGUUACUAGUAAUCGCAGAUCAGAAUGCUGCGGUGAAUGCGUUCCCGGGUCUUGUACACACCGCCCGUCACACCACGGGAGUUGGAGACGCCCGAAGCCGAUUAUCUAACCUUUUGGAAGAAGUCGUCGAAGGUGGAAUCAAUAACUGGGGUGAAGUCGUAACAAGGUAGCCGUAUCGGAAGGUGCGGCUGGAUCACCUCCUUU